CUUUUGUCGAUAAAUAGAUAUAUGGGCAUAUCUCGUGAUGUGUACAAUCAGCUAUACGGUCUGUUGUGUUUUUCCCUCUUUGUCGCUAUUCAUGUCAGAGUUUCUCUUUUUGUUUUCUUCCUGGGUUUCCCUCGUAGCUUGUGCGUCUCACGGCCCUGUGGAAGCAAGGGGGCUGGGCUAUGUGGGGAAGGCGGCAGGCCGUCUUCUCCGCCCUUCUUGCUCUUCCUCUGGAUGUGUUUCCCUCAGGUCUUCCCCUCCUUCUCGCUGAAGGGUCAGCCGGUUUCGUUCUUACAGAUUCGCAUUGCCGAGACAGAAGUUGAAGCGCCGCUCCCAAUCGCGCCUUCUCAGCGAGGGCCUCAGCCAGCGCCUCUUCACAUCUGCUCCGGCCACACGUGCGCGAACGCAAGCGCCCCCACUUCCAGUCAGGCAAAAACAAACCCCGGAAACCUCCGAAACCCCGCCGAAUUGGAUGUCUCAAAACGUUCUCUGACUAACUGUCUGCUGCAGGAUCGGGGUCGGCUGCGCCUGACGAGGAAGGGAAGGACGAAACGUGGGAGGCGAAAACGCGCAUUUCUGCGACCGCGCAUGCAAGAUUCGCCGAGAAGACCCCACAAGCAGAGGAAACCCAAGAUUGCGAGAAACCCACCGUAGGCACGGCAGCGCUGGUACCGGAGGCUGCGCAAGCGUGGUUCGGUGGAAGGGACGCGAGAGAGAAGAGAGAAACAUUCGCGGCAGCAGGCGUCUCCGUGUCCCCCUUUCGUCUCACCUUCCGCAGUCCGGAGAAGUCGCCUUGAGUGCCUGAGAAGCUGCGUGGAUGGGCAGAACCAAAUUACAGAGUGAAGCGUCUGGGGAACGCAAGGCAGCACCAAACCCUCUUGCGACAAGGAACGAGAAAAAGGGAAAGCCGAAAGCGCUGGAAACAAGCAUGAGACGCCAGGCGGCGUAUGUGACGUCUCCUGAGUUCUCUGUAGGAUCCACGGCACGUCUCCGAGGUUUGCUUUAGAGAGAGACGGAGAGCAGCGACUCUCGUGUUUCAUCCCCCGCUUAGGAAAGCCUGUCCUUAUGUCUCUGGUUUCCUCUGGCUUCUGUUCUUCGCUUGUGUGCUCUCGCUCUUCAUCUAAUUUUUCGUGGCACGCGUCGAUACUUCACAUGUUUUCUUCGCUUCACUGUCGUCGCCCGCGCGAGCGGCGUUUCGCUUGUUCUUUCUUCGUCGACGGCACCAGAUGUCGCAACCCUUUUCCGCCUAUUUUCUCCCCACCUGACCCGUCCCGUGCUCGCUUCACACAUCGGCCUACCCAUGAGCGUCAACGAGGCGUCCCCUGUCGUCCGUUGGUGUCGGCGACCGGCAACCCGUCAUUGCUUCCUCCUGAGAAAAUGCGGCGCCGAGAAACGUCUUGCAAACAGAGAUCCACACAAACGGCAGAAGGGGCGGGAACGCCUCGUGCACUCGUCCUAGCGGCGAGUGUGUGAAAACGGUUGAGCGUGGAGAACGCAGGCCAGGCCGUGCCGCAGAAGGCGCUACGGACUCGCCGCGCGCCGGCAGGGACGGAAACAGCGGAACUGGCAAGACACAGAGGACGUAAACGUUUGCAGCGAAAGAAAGGCAAGGGUCCAGUGCAGCAUGCGCGCGCCUGUCUGGGGAAGAGCGAGACGCAAACGCCGCAGGUUUUGCUUUCCGGCAAGGCGUCUGCGGACACUGCCCGAAGAAACGGGGCGUGGCCCAUGGAAGAAGGAAUGCCAAACGAAGAACGCGAAACAAGCGGAGAAUGAGACAGAGGCAAAAAAGACGAAGAAGAGAAACACCACACGACACAACGAGCGGCUGCGAAAAAGCGGCAAGAUACAGCCCAGCAUUUUGAAAAUGACGCUGGAGCUCCGACGAGCUUUUUCCCACGUGGCGCGGGCGUUAGUUCCUCAUUCGCGAUCUCCAGCUUGUUUCGCGGGUCAAUCCCUGACUUCCGUACCUCCGAUCUCUGCCUCUCCGCGUCGCUUGCCCAAAACGUGGCAAGGAUGCUGAGAAAGCAGGAGACGCAGAAGUGGCCGACAAAUGGGGGGAAGGAGAUUGCGACAACGCAGGCGACAGUCCGGGCACCGUACCCGACGCAGUCGUGGGCUCGUCAGUGUCUCCACUCGAAACAAAGAUGCAGUCCCCCCUCUUCGUGUCUUCUCCAUCGCCUUCGUCUUCUUCGUCUCCACUUCCGCGUGCACGGCUUUGUUCUUGGCGCUUUCGGCUCCACGCGAGUCCUCUUCCCCCGCCUUCUGUCUGUCGCAAGAGCCCGCGGCACCUUUCCCACUGACGCUCAACGGCUUCUUGUUGCCGAGAAAGAACUUUCUUUUUUCUUGCAAACCUUUUCAUUUCCGCUGCGUGGGAGACUUUCAUCGUUUCCAACGUUUGCCUUUCCCUUUCGAGGCUCGCUUGAGACAGGAGAAAAGCCCGCGUCUGAUUCUUCAGGCCCUCGAGCAUCUCGCUUAUCUUCUUCUCUCGGCGGGAAAGCUGAAGGUCGAGCUCCUUCUUCUCCCGAUCGAACUUUUGUUUUUCUUCCUCGAGCUGGGCCUUCUGACGAGACAGCCUCUCGUCUUCCCUAGAGGAUCGCUCUUCUCUCUCCAUUUGCAUCUUCUCCUCUGCCGUCCUCUCCCUCGCCUCGUACUCCCCUCGUUCCAUUCUUUCCACUUCUCUUUCUCUUUCUUUUUCCGCUUCGCGUGGCCUCUCUUCGGCCUGCGAACUCUCGCUCUUGUCUCUCACCAGCUCCUUGCGCUCGUGUCGAAGCCGCGCGGUUUCGUGCUCGACUGCUUCCUGCUCUUUCCUCAGGCGCCGACUCCACAGCUCCAAGUCUUCGCGAGCGGCACUUACUGACAGUUCUUUUCUUCCAAGUUCUCCUUCUUCUCUCAGCAAUUCUUCUCGCUCCCUCUGGAGGUCGGCCUUCUGGCUCCUCAGGUCUUCUCUCUCCCGCUGGAUUGCCUCUCUUUCUGUGGCAAUUUGCAUCUUCUCUCUUGCGACGACGGACCUUUCGAGCAGCAACGCGUCGUUCUCUCGCCGCACGCCUUCCUUCAUGGCCAUGACGUGUCUGUACACCCUCUCUCCGCGUUGUUUCUCAUCUUCGAGAGCGCCGAAGAGCUUCUGCAUUGCCCGUGUCUGCAGCUUCAGCUUGCUUUCUUUCUGAAACAGUUUCCUCACUUUCGUCCGUAUGGCGUCAACUUUCUUCCGCAAAACCCCCGCUUGCUCCUUCAGAAGCUGCGUCGCCUUCGCUUGGUACUCCUGGACACGUCUCUGCCGUUUCCUCUCGGCUUGCAGUCUCGCUGCUUCCUUCCUCAGUUUGCCUCUCUCUAGCGCCAUCGCCCUCUCGUGCUCCCCCCAGCGUUUUUCUAUUUCGUCAACGCCUGUGCGUUUCCUGCCUUCUGCCGCUCCUGUCCCUCCUUCGCUCCAUUCCGCCUCCUCUCUUUCUUCCUCGCUCUUCCCCAAAAAUCUCCGCCGACGGUUCUCUCCUUCCAGCGGCUCUCCAAGAUCCUCGAGGGCUCGACCCCUCUCUGCUCGUCCUUUUGGCCCUUCUUGCUCUCUCUCGUUCCCUCUCUCUUUCCCUCUCUCUCUGUCGCUCUCUUUCUCUCUCUCUUUCCCUCUCUCUUUGUCACUCUCUUUCUCUCGCGUCGCGCUCUCGAUCUGUCUCGCCAUCUCUAUCAGCCCGCAUCCAAGCGCAUGCAGUUCUUUCUGCUUCUGUUCGAGUCUCCGUCGCGCGUCGAGGAGGCUCAGGGCGGGGUCAGGAGGCCCUCGCCCCGGCGACGCGGCACACCGACAGGAGGUCCAAGCGUCAGGCAGGAGAGAAGACAAAGCGGAAGCGAAAGCACUCGGCGUCUCUCCGUCGUGCUUGUCUUUCUCCUGGAAUCCUUCCCCCGUUGCGGGUUUCUCGUUGUUUCCCUGACUCGCCCCGGUCGCCGUAGGAGCACAGCCAAAGAGGUUCUCCACUUCCAUGAGGAAACACGAGGCGGCAGAGGAUGCAGCCGCCGACAAACUGGAAGUCGACGCAGGAGCGCAAGAGGAAGAAAGAGAAGACGUAAACGAGGGAGAUGCAGAAACAGAAGCUGGAGCCGCGACAGCUGUAAAAGACGGAGGAGAGGAAAAGGCGGAGGCAGACUCAGAGGGACAAGGAGAGGGCGAAGUGGAAAGAGGGUAAAGAAGGCAAGCAUCUGAUGAGGCAGUCGAAACCGAUGAGAAGCGAUCUGUCGACGUGGUCCAGGAGGACGCGCCAUGGCCCGUCGUGAACGGUUCAGCCGAGGAGUGUGUCUCUUUUUGGGACGCGUCCGGUUGGUUCUCUCCCAAGCCGCAUUUUUGUUCUUCGCCCAGUAGAGAGGGAACCGGAAUCCCCGCAGGUUCUGAGAAAACGUCGAGCGGAGACGACGCGCGCUCGAUAGGGGCAACGCUCGACGUUGGGCGAGGAGACGAGGCUGGAGAUGGAGCGACGGCAGCACUCGUCAGUGGCAACGGAGCUGGAGAGAAACUGAGGAAGGCUUCUUCAGCUGUCGUCGUUUCACACGAGACACACGGUUUCGCAUACUUCUGCGCAGAUUUGCACUCUGUGAUGGAGGCGCGAAAGGGCUCAGGAGCCGCAAGCGGAAGACCGACAGCGGUAGCGAGAGUUGCGAGAGGCGCGAGCGCACAAGUCGCUGCGCGUUGCUGUGCGUCCUGCGCAGACACCCCGGUGCCGGGGACGGAGACCGAAGACGAGGAAGACACAGAGGCGACAUUGGCAAAAGACGCCUUGGCGAUCAACGCGUUGACGAGAGAAAGCGUGCGGCAGCAUGAGGGAAGCGAACAGGCCGCACAGACCGGCCCUGGAGGUCCUGGCAGUGAAACGGAAGAAGGGAACGAGCACGAGCAAGAGAGACCCGAAGACGCCCAGGACGAAGCUGAAGAAGAUAACACAUCGCCACGGGUAAGCGGGGAGGAAGUGCAAGGAGGGGACACAAGCGAAGGCGAGCAGCUAGAGAAGGAGUCUGGGCAUUCUGCUUUUCCCGGCGGCAAGGUCCUGUCCCGGUUUCCAACUUCACCCCGCACGUCGUCUUCAGUCUCCCGCGCAGGGCGAUGCCUGCGCGUAAAACGUCGGCUGUCUCCACUCUGGGCCGCUUCCGCGCCGUUCGGUUGUGCCCCGUGGCGACCGCCUCCGUUAUCUCCGUUUGGGCUCCGAAACUCUCGAGCUGUGGCCUGUCCCCGUUUCUGCUGAUGGCGUGACGGUGUUCGACUGAGGCUUUCGAGCCGAGACGCGCUUUCGGGCCGAGACGCACUUUCCGGUCUCGCCUCCGUUUCUGUUUCUGACGCUUCUCGGCCGACUUCGUCUCCCCGUGCCUCUUCUGCUUCUCCACCCUCAGCUGCUUUGCUUGGGCCUGCAGAGAGAGACGGGUGCUGGUUGUGCUUCGUCUCGGGGGGGGUUUUUCUAGCUUCGGAGCUGCGCGACCGAAGCGCUCUGCGCCUCCGUUUCUCGUUCCCAUGAUCUGUCUCGCCUGCAUUGUACAGGGGCAAGUGGCAUGGGGAAGGAGCGGCUUCGCGACCCGCCUUCCUGCUCGGAUGCAUUCGCGAGGUUGUCCCAGCUUUCUCGCGUUCUCCCGAAACCCUUAGUGUGGUCUCGCUGGUGCCCUGAGAGGCGCAGCUCCUCGGCGGCGAUGCCCGAUGCUUGCACGUGCGUUUUGCGUCCUCGCUUCGGGUGUAUAGACACUCUGCGUCGUCCGAGGUGGCCGUCAGUCCCUGCUCGUCGGAGGCUUCCUCCUGACUGCAGAUUUCGAUAUCGGAAAAAAACUCAAGGAACGACGAAGAGGGCGAGGAUAGGGGGCUCGCCAGAGAAGACGAGCUCCAGCUCGUAUGCUCUCCUUGAAAAGGCUCGUUGGCGUUCUCUCGCUUUCCGCAGGCCUCCAACUUAAGCGUGCCGGGAGUUUCGCAGGUUCCACCUCUUCCACUGCCUUCGUUUUUCUCCCGCUGCCUCCUCGUCUGUCGACUCUCUGUCGCUGCCGCAGAAGCAGAGGAAACAAAGGACACGGUUUUCCCUGUCGACGCAACGGGUCCAGGACAGGAAGACGAAUUCGAAAGAGGAGAGGAAGACGGACGCCAGACGGGUGAGGAAGGAGAAGAAGUCGGAUCGACUGGCCGAUCUAACGCGCAAGCGAAGCGCGGGUCUUUGGGAAGAUGUCGCAGCUCUCGGGCAAAAAAUGCGGAGAUUUCCUCCGGCGACAACAGCGGAGCAACGGCACCAGUCUCCAACGAAGGCGAAGGCAAGGCCGAUGGCGAGGAAGAGUUCGUCUCUUUGUGCGUUUGCUGAUCAGACGCCCGCGUGUCAACCGCCUCGCCAGCUUCGCCUCGCCACGGGGUGACUCCCUUCGAGGCCGGGAGGCCAGGCGAUGACAGAGGAGAAUGCCACGCAGCGAAUUCUCCCGGUUCAGUGUGGUCUGCCUCUUCUUGGCGCGCAGAGGGGGAAGAGAGAAAAGACGGCGAGAAGAACGCCAGCGAUGACGGCUCCUCGCAGACAGGGGUCGGGCCCGACCCGGGCGAGGCGGCGGGAAGGUCGAGACGCAAAGAAAAAGAAGAAAGCGACGGACGAAAGGUGGAAGCAGACGCAGGCGCAGAGGAAGAAGAAAGGAAAUGAGAGGGGGGCGGGGCCGCAGAGUGGGUUGCCGACGCCAAAGAAGACAGCUGAGGGCGAGACGGCAUAUCGGUGUCUGGGGGAAACGAAGAGGCGUUGAGGGGAACAGUGGUGGCAGAAGGCAAGGCGGUUGCAAACAUCUGGCUAGUUAAACCGUCCAUCGUGGAAGCACACCAGAACGGAGACGGUUCAGGAAUGCAGGAUGACGCCAUGGAAUCCCCAAGGGCGUUCGGGUUUCGCCGGGAUUCAAACGCCUCCGGUGUGCGUUCUUCUCUGCGACCAAAUGUUGGCGAACUCGGCUGUGGAGAAAGGGAGUCUGGGUCUUGAAACGCCGGCGCGACUGGAGGCGACCGUUUGGGUGAAUCUUCUCGUCGCUUUGGGUGUCUCCACACCCUGCCCGAUUCAUCGAGGUUUCCUUCUCUUCCUGUCUCUUCCUUCUCCGCAACUCCCUCACUGCCUUUGCUUCGGCGCUUCCCGCUCUCGACCAGCGCGGACCAGACGGUGAAGGCCGAGGGCGGUGACGAGCAGAAAAAAGACGAAGGACGGGACGCCCAAGACGCCGACGAAGAGCGAGAAGAAGCAGAAAACGAAGAAGACGAAAAAGAAGACGAAGAAGGGGAAGACGCCGACCGCUUGGCUCCUGUGGAAAGAGGCAUCUGUCGACCAUUGAACGGUGGCUGGUGUCGGGUCGGAGACAGGUCCGAGAAGCGGGGGAGGCCGGGGGACCACGUUGGAUGAGAUCUGAGGCUCUCUGCGUCGCUAGCUGAUGUUCUGCACGUUUCGCCUUCGCACGUUUCCCCGCGGGCUGUCCGAGGACGGGAUUUGUGUUCUUUCCUGCAUCUUCGCGCAGCGCCAAAUCGCCUCCUGCAACCUUGGCCUUCGACAGACAGGUGCGAAUCUCGCGAGCUUGUAGAAGACGAGACCGACAGGCGCGUCCGUCUCCUAGCUUCCUUUGACUCGACACCUCUCGCCGCAGCCGCUCUCUCAACAUCCUCGGAUGACGCUGUCUCUGGCGUCUCCGUUCUGCGCCUGGGGCUGCCGUUCUCUUCAUGCCUCUCACAGGAGGGGGAAUGGGACACGCGACCGUCCUGCCUUCUCUGUCUCCUUUCUCCUCCUUUUUCUCUCUGGCGGCAGAGUCGAGGCUCCUCGCUUUGGUCCUCCUUUCUUGCUCUUUUCUCUCGCGGAGACGACACCCAGCAGGGCGACCCUAGCCCGUUCAUCUCUUCAGCCCCCCUAGCCGUCCACGCUUCACUUGCGUAUCUGCUUUCGCUUCCCUGCACGAACUUGCCGGCGGGUUCCUCUUUCUUUCUUCUACUUCUCGCCUCAGUCGAGGACACACGUUCUUCGCCUGCACCCAUUCUCUCCCUUCUCGCGCUCGCCAGUCUUGCUCUACGGUCGCCUCUCCUCUGCUGUCUCGUUUUCUCUUCCAGUGAUCUCUGACGGGCGCCGGGUUCUGAGACGUCAGAAUCGCCUACCUCUCCCGCUCGGCUGUUUGUUCGGCGGAGAGGCGACAGGGAGCCCGGUUCAAACUCCCGAGCGUUUCGUCUCCCUCCCCGCGUCUUCGCCUGCGUGCUCCUCUGCGAUUCAUCUGAAGCCGAGGCUUCGAAAUCGUCUCGCGAACGCGUCGCCCAUCUGUUCUGGCGGCACCUGAGCUUACCGCUUGUCGCCCCGCGUGUGUUCUUACUUUCCUUCUUCGGGUACUUUGCAGAAGAGGACAAAGAAUCCGAACGGGACAGGGCGUCUCUUCCCGGCGCGUCGCUCUCCGUGCUCAACGACUCCCGGGGGGGUUCAAUGGGACGACUGUCGUUGCUUGUUCGCCGUGACGUGUGGCAGUUGCCGCCGACGUCUGUGUCGCGUUUGUCUCUGCUAUGGAGGGUUUCUCUUCCUGGAAUUCUCUUUCCGAUGGGUGGUGGUGAUGUCUGAACUGGAAGCGGAACUUGUGGUGAUGGUGGCUGUCGACCGUUCCCGCGCUCCGAGGUUACCUGUCGGCCGGUAACGCGCGGUUGUGCUGCCUGGUCGUGUGCGGCAAGCGUGACAGAGAAAAGGCGCUCCGCUUUUUGUCGAGGGGUGGCAAUUCGCCCACCUGAAGAGUCGCUUCGCACCUCCACGCUUUGGAUUGCAAAGCACGGGCCUUGCCCAGAACCUACCUCUCCCGUUGACGCCGUGGCAGCCGUCGAGCACCUGGUUCUUUCCCCAGAUCGGGAUUCGCCGCGUCCUCCGGCAUGGUCCGUUUCUCUUGUGGCCCAAACGGUCGGCGACAAAAGAGCGUUUCUGCAGCUUUCUCUGGCACCAGCAUCUGGGAGCGGGGACGUCUGGUGGGAGUGAACAUCUGUGCGACGAACUUCAGACACAUGCCCCACCGUUCUGCUCGUUGUGUCUUCUCGGAGACAGCGCGGAGACAGUUUUCUGGAGCAACGUGCUGUCGCUGCCGCAGUCGCGACCGCGACUUCUGCCGCGGCUGCAGCCGAGGCCUUUGCUUUGUCAGCCGCCGCCUUGGCAGAUGCAGUGCAAAUCAUCGAUCUGACCUGGCUGGGGAAGCCUUCUUCCGGCCCUCGCCGGGGGUGAAGUGCACGAGAGCCUUGAGGACCGUUUUCGUCAGACCUGUGAGAAGCGGCAUUCGCACUCGGUAGAAAAGGGGCGUUCCCGCUCCGCGUUCGGGAAGCGGAAGGAAUCGAAUCCAGGCGCUUCGACCGUGCUGGAGGCGCGUCAAGAGGAGACACGGAGACGAUCUCUCGGGCCUGGCGAGGUGCCGAUGCCGUUCCGGCGAUGCCAGCGGUGUGAAAAGAGGGACAUACCGGCCUAGCGUGGCCGUGGGCGAUAUCCGGAAGUCGGCAGGUGCGGGGGGAUGCCUGCACAGGCCGAGGAGACGCUGAAGAGUAUGGAGACUGAGCGAAGAGUCGGGGUCGGGGGGUUUGGGGCGGAGGAAGGUGAACGAACGGGGAGUUGGAAGAUCCAGACGCGCAGGCUGCAACCGGUCGCCUCGCCUCCUCGGAGAUCGCCUUUCUGCGGCCAAUCUCCAAGAGCGUUCGCGCCGGGUUUCUGCAUCGUUGCCAAGCGCCAUCUCGGCUCGAGAGCACUGCUGCUUGACCGCCUCCCGGCAAAGGUGGGUAGGGAAACCUCUGCGGACUUCCCCAGUUGCCCCGCAAACUUUCGCGCCGCACGACAGCCACAAAGCUCUGUUGGUGGCCGUCAGGGGACUCGUCCACAGAACUGUGAACCGCCGUCCGCGCCGGUAACGGAUGAAGUUCUCGUGGGGAGUGAGAGGUCGACACCCACCGAGAGGCGCUCGACGGCGCGGAGGCGCUUGCCCGCGACCCCACCGUGGCCCGAGGUGUCGGAGCACUGCGGCAAUCCGUGUUUGUCUGUUGAGAGGCCAAGGGAGUCCCAUGUGCCUGGUCGACUGUUUCGUUCCCCUCACGGACGGAGGGGCAGUGUGCAGAAGGUUGGGAACACCGCGGAGGAUCCCACGCAGAAUGCGGCAGGCUCUCGGGAGCGGCGCAGUUUCCUGGCCCAAAUAACUCUGAUAACUCUUCACCGUCAUCGGUGAAGAGAUCCCCAAUUGACACUGGAGCUGGCAGACGCACCUCAUGAACGGAUGGGCUGGUCAGAGGGUUUGCCGUGUUGCGCGGAAUUGACGCGACUGAGAUGGGAGGGGGUGCGUUUUGCGCGGUGAGCAAUCUCCCGGUGUUUCCCAGCGGCACGUGUGUCAGCGCAGACGGCGGAAGAGAAAGAAAGCGCGAGGAACUCCGCCGUUCGUGUCCGAGCAGCGGCGUCCGGCUUCCUGUUGCCGGAGAGGCAUCACGGCUGAUUGCCCGCAGCUCUCCGGCUGAGGCAGCUGAGGGAAGCGGGAAGGCUUUGCCGGGAAGACGAAACACCUGUGUGAACCCAGGUGUCGUGGUUUCCCUUCGAAAGCAACAGGGAGAACGGCCUCGAGCCAUCGAGAACAGAGAGGCAUACGCAAUUGAGGCACUUGUGAGCUUCCUCGUGCAUGGAUACGUUGGGGAGCGAAGGGCUUACAACGUUGUGAGAAACGGCCAACGCCUUAUAUAGGCAGACUCGAAUGUAGGUACCAGGUUGGGGGGGGAAGGGGGGGGGGGUACAGGGUUCUAUGCCUACGAUUGCAAGACAACUUGUGUCGAGAGGAAAGAACGUUUGCAUUUGGCAAACACGUACGGAGGAACUGGGUGUGUUUCAACCAACAUUUCCUCUACCGACUGUGUGUGCGUUGAACACGGACACGAACAUCAGUGCGCGCUACCAAGACGUGCGACGGCUAUUCUCUUGAUAAUACCGCGGAGUUCUCUCCCACGAACACGGCGCCGCGCCCGCAGGAAAAAGCAC
rnacentral:lncRNA from 1 species